rnacentral:rRNA from 1 species
AUGGCUCCACGGUCGGAAGUUUGGAAUCAUUUUAGCAAGGAUGUAAAUGCCACGACAGCAACAUGCAACUAUUGCAAAAGUGAGCAUGCUUGUGUUUCUAAAAGGAAUGGUACAUCAUCCUUGUUAAAGCAUUUGACGACCUGCAAGAGAAAUCCUCAUAGGGUCAAGGAUGACAAGCAGCCAACUCUACAAGCUACUCCGAAUCAGGGGGAUGCUAGUAAGUGUUCACUCACUACCUGGAGAUUCGAUCAGGAUAAUCUUAGAGAUGCUUUGGCUGAAAUGGUAAUUGUGGAUGAGCUUCCGUUUGCAUUUGUUGAGAAACCAGGAUUUAGAAGGUUUGUGGCAAACGCUUGUCCUCGUUUCAAUGUCCCAUCCAGGAGGACGGUUACUAGAGAUUGUGUCCGCAUUCAUUAUAGGGAGAAAGUCAAGCUAAAGAAAUUCUUCAAAGAAUCUUGUGAAAGAGUUUGUGUAACUACCGACACAUGGACAUCUUCCCAAAAGCAGAAUUUUAUGUGUGUGGCAGCCCAUUUUAUUGAUAAUGACUGGAUUCUGGAUAAGUGGAUCAUUGGGUUUUUCUUGGUGAGGGGUCAUAAGGGGGAAGACAUUGGGAAGGACCUGGAGAAGUGUUUGGUUGUGUGGGGCAUAGAUAAGGUGUUUUCAGUAACAGUUGACAAUGCCUCACCAAAUGAUGGACCGGUAAGCUACAGAAAGAGGAUCAUGAACAGUGCCAAUGCAAGCAUAGGGAGAGGAGAAUAUAUGCACAUGAGAUGUGCUGCUCAUAUUCUGAACUUGAUAGUUACUGAUGGGCUAAAAGAGUUGGAUAUCUCAGUGAAGCGAGUUCGCGCUGCAGUCAAGUUUGUUAAGAAUUCUCCAUCUAGAAUUACUAAGUUCAAGAAGUGUGCUGAAUUAGAGAAGUUGGCAAAUAAAGGUUUCUUGUCACUUGAUGUAUGCACUAGAUGGAACUCCACAUUCUUAAUGCUGAAAGCUGCAGCCACAUAUGAGAAGGUGUUCGUGAGGUAUGAAGAAGAGGACCCAUACUUUGCAAUUGAGCUAAAUGGCGACAAAAUGCCAGGAGUUCCUCAACCAGAAGAUUGGGAUAAUGCUUCAAAGAUGGCAGAGUUUCUUGAGCAUUUCUAUAAGCUUACCCUUCGUGUUUCAGCCUCAAAUCAUUGCACAUCUCACAUAUUCUUCCAUCAAAUUGCUGAUAUCAUUGUCUUGCUGAGGGCUUGGUGUGGAAGUGGAGACCCUUUGCGGAGAGAGAUGGGAGAAAGGAUGUUGGACAAGUACAACAAGUAUUGGGCAGAUCACAAGAGCUUCAACAUCUUGAUCUUUGUGGCUGUUGCUCUUGAUCCAAGAUACAAGUUGUCAAAUUACAUCAAGAUUGCAACUUUUGAAAUGUUUGGGCAGAUCAAUGGAGAGGAGGUGUGGACAAAGAUGAAUACAACUCUUACAAAUCUGUUCCAAGAGUAUGUUAAGUUAUAUGGUCCAACUGAGCAAGAAGUGCAGUCUGAUGAUGCACCUAGCUUUGAAGAGGACAGCAGCGAAAGCUUGAUGAGUUCCUUGAUUGCAAAGAGAAUGAGAAUGAAUGACUGUGGAAUCAGCAUUAGCCCUUCGAAGUUUGAACUUGAAAAGUAUCUUACAGAGGAUAAUGAAGCAAACAGCAGCAAAUUCAACAUUCUUGAGUGGUGGAAGGUCAACUCAUCUAGAUUACCUUUGCUAUCACGUUUAGCUCGUGAUGUCCUAGCUUUCCCAAUAUCUAAAGUCGCAUCAGAGUCAGCUUUUAGCACCGGUGGAUGCAUUCUUGAUGAGUUCCGAAGCUCGCUCACUCCAUUCAUGGUGCAUGCACUAAUUUGUACUCAUGAUUGGUUGCGCAGAGAAAUUCAUGUUAACAAUGAAGAGAAUGAAGAGCUACAUGACAACCUAGAGGAAGCGGUACUUCAAGAAUUGUCUGAUCUGAGCAUUGCUAAUGCUAAGUCCGGUACAAGUGCUGGUGUCCACAUCACCAUUGAUGACACCGAAUCAUAA